rnacentral:miRNA from 1 species
GUAUGUGUAUAUAUGUAUGUAUGUGUAUAUAUAUAUAUAUAUACACACACACACACACACACACACACACACACACACACA